AAGCAGGUGUUUAUAUUAAUAAUAAUAUAAAGCAGGGAGUAACGACCGUAAUUUAAAUUUUUAUUUAAAUUGCAUCAACGGAUAAAAGAUACGCUAGGGAUAACAGGCUGAUACGGGAAGAGAGCACACAUCGACUUCCGUGUUUGGCACCUCGAUGUUGGAUCAUCGCGUCCUAUAGCUGAAGAGGGUUAUGAGGGUUAGGCUGUUCGCCUAUUAAAGCGGUACGUGAUCUGAGUUCAGAACGUCGUGAGACAGUUCGGUUUCUACCUACAUAUACAUAAUUUCUUAUUUUAUAAGAGAUAAGCGUUAUUUCUAAAAGGUGCGAGUACGAAAGGACCAGGACGCCUUCAAACCUCUGGUUUAUUUGUUGUCUUAAAUGGCAUAGCAAAGUAGCUAAGUUUGUA
rnacentral:rRNA from 1 species